GAAAGCCAAUUGUUUGAGAUACAGUGUUUGAAGAUCUAACUUUGAAUGGGAAAUUUGAUGUUUUUGUGUUAGCAUAAAAUGCUGCCAUUCAACAGGGGAAAGAAGGAAAUAUAUGGAAUUUGUUGCUAGAAUUUACCAAAAUUGAGACCUAAUUUCCUUGCAUUUUUGUUUAAUGCUGUUCCAGUUGGAGGCAUGAAAUGAGCUGGAUGCAUCAUCUGAGGAUGGCAGCUCCACAGGAAUCCACCAACCUGCUAAAAGGCUUUGCAUGUGUUUGUUUAUUUUGGGGAUUGUUUUUCUCAGUUUAAGGAUGCUUAUCCAGAACCAGCUUUCUACACUGGCAAGCAAAAAUGAAUGUACUUCAAAUAAUCAAGAGGAAACCAGGCUGUUUUAAGGUUCUACAUCCUUAUCCAUCUCAGAUCGCCGCUCGUUUCCAUUUGGAGUCAUGUUUCCCUUCAAAACUCAAGACAACUGAGAGUCAGUUCAAGGUUUGUUUGUUUGUUUGUUUCAUUGUUAGUACUUUAUUCUUCACUUUGUGCUGGACAGUGAAGACAUAGCUUUUGAGAGUAAGUAGGACCUGGUAAAAGGAUUUCCCUUGUAAAUUCAGAAACAAUUCAUUUUUCUCACACUGAGGUAGUGGUGAUGACUUUGAAGUUGUGUAGCUCAAUAUUUUCAAAUCCUU
rnacentral:lncRNA from 1 species